AGCAGCCGCGGUAAUUCCAGCUCCAAUAGCGUAUAUUAAAGUUGUUGCAGUUAAAAAGCUCGUAGUUGAAUUUCGGGAUCAAUUAGUCGGUCGUGCCUCUGGUACGUACUGGUUUUAUUGGUUCCUCCCUUCUGACGAAACAUGAUGUCAUUAAUUUGGUGUCGUGGGAAAUCAGGACUGUUACUUUGAAAAAAUUAGAGUGUUUAAAGCAGGCUCACGCUUGAAUACAUUAGCAUGGAAUAAUGAAAUAGGACGUUUGAUUCUAUUUUGUUGGUUUCUAGGAUCGACGUAAUGAUUAAUAGGGAUAGUUGGGGGCAUUAGUAUUCAAUUGUCAGAGGUGAAAUUCUUGGAUUUAUUGAAGACUAACUACUGCGAAAGCAUUUGCCAAGGAUGUUUUCAUUAAUCAAGAACGAAAGUUAGGGGAUCGAAGACGAUCAGAUACCGUCGUAGUCUUAACCAUAAACUAUGCCGACUAGGGAUCGGAUGAUGUUAAUUUUUAAUGUACUCAUUCGGCGCCUUA
rnacentral:rRNA from 1 species